AACAUGUCCGCAGGGGACAGCCGGGCGCACAGCCUGGACCUCGGGACGCUGCGACAGGGAACCGGAGACUUCACAGAGGAAGCCCGGCAAAGAUGGCGGGCGGCGACAGCGGGAGAAGCGCGGAGUCGUCCUACUGAACAGCAAAUGCCCCGGCCUCUUGGCUGCCCCCCAUGCCGGCCUUCCUCUUCCCGCCCCGCCACUCUCCGCAAACCCUGUUCUCUGCAGAGACUGCGCCAGCGAAAGACCCCGGGGCAGUGGAGGAAGGCUUUGUAGAUACAGUCAGCAUCCCCCAGUAAGGAGGGUCCUGAGAUAAGAGCGAAGAGGAGAACAGAAACCAGAUGAGGCCUUGGCGAGACCUUGUACCUGACCACAGAAGCGGACCCCUAACAUAUCUUCUCUCCUGCUUUUCACCUCCCACAUUCCAUUCCCUCAACCCUCUUUAAAAACUCCCCAGUAAAUAUAAACCUUUGAGAUGGGAUAGUCUACCAUCUCCUUCAACUGAAUACAUCUGCUUUUCUAACACCAA